AUUAAACACAUAGAUUUAUUGAACUUUUUUCUGAUUGGGGCUGAAAUGUUUAUUAGAAAACCCAUUGGUACUCUUAAGGCCUUAGACUACUUUUUGUUUCACAAAAACAAACAAAAAAAAAACCCGCUAAACUUCAAUUCUUAAAGCUCAUUGGACGUUGACCUUUUCAAUCUCCGCCUAGUUUAAAAUACCUUACCGAAGUGUUGUAAUCUGAUACAUCGGUGGUGUUAGCGCCAACGAACUGUGUAGUUCAGUAAAUAAUCUACAUCAUAGGUUUUGUUGAAGACACGCCCGGGGAAAAACUACAACUCCCCGCCUGCAUACACAGAUUAUUUUAACACAGCCAAUAAGAACGCUGGAACGAACACCACCAGAAAGAGGCUCGAUAGAUUAACCCAGGAAGGAACAAUAGCGACAUGCACAGAGAUUUUUCGUCUUUACCAUAUGGGUUUACUUUAACAUAUGCAUUUAGAAUAGUUAUUAUGGAGCUGCGUACAUCCUUAAACUUAAUUUGUUCAGCCGGUGGUAAAAAAUCACCUUUUUGUCACCUAAUAAAAAAAACAAAACAGUUUUAACCUUCAGAACAGGCCCAUGUCAUACCCUAAAGUAUGUUCUAGUGCGGCAAAUCGCCCGUAUUAAUAAAUUUAGGUCGUAACCCUUCGUCUUUAAACCAUUUAGUGGUACAGCACGCCAGCAACGCCUCCUUACAACCAUCAAAUUACAUGUCCGUUCUUUGUAGUCUCAGACUAACACUAAACGUCACUGACUCAGAUGAAUAAUCCAGGCUAGGCUAUAUUGAAUGCGUUCUCUUGGAGGGGGAAAGAGUGCCGCGGAUAGGCUAUAAAAUAGACGAACAGCAUGGCUGGUUACCCAUAGUUGAAACAGAAAAGAUAGCCACAUUUGAACUUGAUUAAUGGGAUAUACCCUCAUCAAGGCUGGAUCAGGACAGAGGCUCAAGGUUUACCCGUGUGCUCCAAGGUGAGACUGAAAGAAUGGAGCUGAAGCUGAUAACUCAGAUGCACUUCCUUCCUGUGCAGAGCUUUUUCAUGGGAAAAAGAAUGGCUACAGCUGGCCAUGGGAGGUCAGCGGUUCACAGGCUUUACCAUGUGAGCCUAGCUGCUGCAUCAGUAAACCAUCCAAUGGCGCUGAUGAGCACUGAGUGUUUUUGGGCACAGUACAAAGCAGCAGUCCUCACAGUAUCAAGCUCACAUUCAGGGGUGACAGGUAAGAGGAUUGUUCGUAGCAAGCUGUCAUCAAGUGUGGCAGGACUUUAUCAUUAUGACUGCUCAGAUCCCUGCCUUUUCUAACUGGGUAUAACUGGGUCCGAUUUCUGCUGCUCCUAUCAAGAUUUCCUGAGUAAUUCAGCAGCAAUGAUGUCAUGUCGAUGGCGAAGAAGCACGCUUCAUCCCUGGCAGCUUCAUGCUGGCCAAAGCUUUGGUUGAGGUGCAAGUGGCCUCCCUUACCUGCAGCUGACCCUGCACCAAGCUAAGUGAUACUAAUGGGAGUGUGACCUCCUGACUGAGAGAAAGUGCCUUACCAUACAUGGACUUGGUUGAGGAAAGGAGAGAAGUACAAGAGGCAGCUUCAGGAAGCAGAGGACUGCCAGUCAAAUGGCUCUGUGCAAGAGGAGGAGGUCCCAUGGAACUGCUCUGUCAUGGCCCAAUUACAGCUCCCCUUCGUCAGGAAUUUACAAGGGAGGGAAAGAGGUGUGAAGUUAAACAUGCUGCACAAACAUGACACAGGAACUGUAGUUGCCGUGCAGCCAUUUCAUAACUCGCUCUUCUCCAGCCUGGAAGGGAAUGUCCACUGUCUCAGGAACAGCUAUGAGCUGCAAAAUGUUUGUCUCAUACACAAUACACCUUGGUUACAAAAGCCACUUGGCGUCAGUGCAACAACAGAAUAUUAACAGAUCAGGAAUAAAACUAUAUGAACCUGGGUUGCAAUAAGAGGUUCUGUGUCCAAAUGACAGUCUGUACUUUACACCCUCUUAAUCUCUUUACCUCUCAGGUCUUACAAGUCAAAAACAUAAGGUCAAUGACUAUGAGAGUUGUUGCAGGGUGAAAUGCACUGGAGUGGUCUAGUCACUUCUGCCUCUUUUCGUUUUGCUUAAUUGACUGGUAUUGCCUGAGGUUGGCAUCCUUUCUCAAAGGAAUUUGUUGUAUUGUACACAGUGUCUCUGAGAAAUUACUGUAGCUGUAAUACAUGUAAAACAUAUCAGUAAUUUUCUUCUAAACAUAUUUUUAUAUUAUGAAUAAUUUGCCAGUACUGGCCAUUAGCAUUUUAUUAUCAGCAGGGUAGGAGUAAACAGCAAGCUAAACCAUUGGUUACAAUGGUUACUAUCAUAAAAUAUGGAAUAUAAAAUUCAUAAUUUAACAAGAGGAAGGAUUAGAAACAAAAGUUUUGUUUGGGGUAUUAUAUAAUGCAAAGUGCUAAUGAAAAUACUAAUAUCCUAGACAUAUUUUGACGAUUGUGCAUCGCCAUAGUUAUGUUUGUGGUAGAGACCAGGAACACCAGUUUGUGUGAAGGAGACAAUUGUCCCAUCAACAAAUGUCCAGCCCUAGGCCUACCUAAAGCACUCUGCCAUAGAGCUGGCAUUGUUUAUAUAUUUCACAAGUAAAUGUAAACCACAUCAGUAAGCAGUCAGAAUCCUUAGCAACAAUAAAUACAGUUGUCAACUUUUAAUACUGUGGAAUUUGUUUGGUUUGGAGCAUGACCUGCUCUUUUCAGGUCAUUCGAUGUCAUUUUGCAUUACGGUUUAAAUUCCAGACUCUGCCAUUUUAAAUUCUCUCUCAUUCAUUUCAGAUUUGUUUUUUGUUUUUUUAAAUCAUUUUCUUUUUGCAUGACCCAGCUUCAGCUAAAAGAUUUUCCAUUAUCUUGUACAAACCAUUUCGAACACCACUUAUGCGUCUACCAAUGGCAGCAGGUCAGCCUGAACUUGGUUCAGCACUAUCACAACCAUGCUUAGCUGCUGCUAUGAUCUUGGGGCUGCAAAUUUUCGUCUGACUGAUGGUAAGUCUGUCCUUAGGACAUUGUGGCAUGUGUUUUGAGCUGGAUGUGUCUUCAGGCUUGCUGCUGCUUACACUGUUGUCCUCAUGAACCCUGACCUUUCCCAGGUGUAAGAGGCCUGCAAAUGGAAACUGCUACUCAGAACUUGAUUAGCUCUGACCUGUACUUCACAGCUUAAAGAUCAGCGCUAUAUGGUGGAGAAUGUUCCAAGUGACAGUUGUGCUACAACACUGAAUUAUUCCUGAAAACUACUUUUUAGACCUGAAGAUUGUUUACAUGCCAAAAAGAGGGGGAACCUAAAGCAGAAAGCUAAAUAAAAUAAAAUUACUACUUGGUAUUGCUUUUUUUUCAGUCACCCUAAAUUUGCUAU